CUUACCAAAUUUACUGAAACUACGAAUACGUAUGCGGCGAAAAAAAGCAGACAGACAUUGGAUGCGAAGGUCUUCUGUCAAAAGGGAAACAGCCCAGAUCGCCCGUUAAGGUCUUCAAUAAAUAUUUAAGUGAAUAAAGCAGUGAUUAAACAAAAACAAUCAAUAGGUAGGCUUGGAAGCAGCCACCCUUUAAAGAAAGCGUAACAGCUCGUUGAUCCAGUUUUGUCGCGCUGAAAAUGUAUAGAGACUCAAAAUAUUAACCGAAACGGCGAAUUUUAAAUGAAAAUGGUAGCGGAACGUUCUGUAUUUUUUAGAAGGCAAGUUGUAAAAUUUGCUGGAGAAAUCAGAAGCGAGUAUACUGGCAUGAGUAGCGAUAAAUAAUGUGAAAAACAUUAUCACCGUAAAUCCAAGGGUUUCGUAGCACGGCUAAUCC
rnacentral:rRNA from 1 species